UGCAAUGAUGAUCAACUAGACUAGAGUCUCUGAUAAAUCAUGAAGAUUUCUUCACAGUGCACUGAGUA